rnacentral:rRNA from 1 species
GACGAACCGUACGAACGUUAUUCGGAAUUACUGGGCUUAAAGGGUGCGUAGGCGGCGCAGUAAGUUGGGUGUGAAAUCCCUCGGCUUAACCGAGGAAUUGCGCCCAAAACUACUGUGCUCGAGGGAGAUAGAGGUGAGCGGAACUUAGGGUGGAGCGGUGAAAUGCGUUGAUAUCCUAAGGAACACCGGUGGCGAAAGCGGCUCACUGGAUCUCUUCUGACGCUGAGGCACGAAGGCCAGGGGAGCAAACGGG